UGAUACAGUGAGAAUUACUUUUCUGAAAAAUAGAUGUGCUCUCUUCAUAACAAAUAUAUGUAUCUCUGUUUUAAAUCCUAGGUUGCAAAAUAAAGAGCUAUGGCAUCUGCAUGUACUGCUAGUUCAUGACAAAUGAACAUUUAUUGUCCAUCUCUUCAAAUUGAAAAGACUGCAGAGCCUGAAUUACCUGCAACGUUAUGCUUCUCAUGAAACAUCAGCCAGCCUACAGAUAGAAGCUCCCUUUUCCAGCUUUAAGCAAGAGGAACCACAAUGAGAUACAGAUCUUGGUAUCAUGGACUGGUCACUUUUUACAACCAACACUACUUGUAAAAUAAGAUUUACAAAUUAAUUCCUAUAAGCUAU
rnacentral:lncRNA from 1 species